GUUGAAACACCGGUUGCCGCACGAUCACCGAAGUUAAGCAAUGUCGAACUUCGUCAGUUCCUAGAUGGGUGACUGCUUGGGAAUACCAGGUGCUGAAAG